CAGCCGCCGCGGUAAUACGUAGGGUGCAAGCGUUAAUCGGAAUUACUGGGCGUAAAGCGUGCGCAGGCGGUUAUAUAAGUCAGAUGUGAAACCCCCGGGCUCAACCUGGGAACUGCAUUUGAGACUGUAUGGCUAGAGUGUGUCAGAGGGGGGUAGAAUUCCACGUGUAGCAGUGAAAUGCGUAGAUAUGUGGAGGAAUACCGAUGGCGAAGGCAGCCCCCUGGGAUAACACUGACGCUCAUGCACGAAAGCGUGGGGAGCAAACAGGAUUAGAUACCCGUGUAGUCCCUGUCUCUUAUAA
rnacentral:rRNA from 1 species